rnacentral:rRNA from 1 species
GACGAACGCUGGCGGCGUGCUUAACACAUGCAAGUCGAACGGAAAGGCCCUGCUUUUGUGGGGUGCUCGAGUGGCGAACGGGUGAGUAACACGUGAGUAACCUGCCCUUGACUUUGGGAUAACUUCAGGAAACUGGGGCUAAUACCGGAUAGGAGCUCCUGCUGCAUGGUGGGGGUUGGAAAGUUUCGGCGGUUGGGGAUGGACUCGCGGCUUAUCAGCUUGUUGGUGGGGUAGUGGCUUACCAAGGCUUUGACGGGUAGCCGGCCUGAGAGGGUGACCGGCCACAUUGGGACUGAGCUGCGGCCCAGACUCCUCCGGGAGGCAGCAGUGGGGAAUGUUGCACAAUGGGCGGAAGCCUGAUGCAGCAACGCCGCGUGCGGGAUGACGGCCUUCGGGUUGUAAACCGCUUUCGCCUGUGACGAAGCGUGAGUGACGGUAAUGGGUAAAGAAGCACCGGCUAACUACGUG